AACGAACGCUGGCGGCAUGCCUAACACAUGCAAGUCGAACGAGACCUUCGGGUCUAGUGGCGCACGUGUGCGUAACGCGUGGGAACCUGCCCUUAGGUUCGGAAUAACUCCCCGAAAGGGGUGCUAAUACCGGAGAAUGUCUUCGGACCAAAGAUUUAUCGCGUUUGGAUGGGCCCGCGUUGGAUUAGCUAGUUGGUAGGGUAAAAGCCUACCAAGGCGACGAUCCAUAGCUGGUCUGAGAGGAUGAUCAGCUACACUGGGACUGAGACACGGCCCAGACUCCUACGGGAGGGAGCAGUGGGGAAUAUUGGACGAUGGGCGAAAGCCUGAUCCAGCAAUGCCGCGUGAGUGAUGAAGGCCUUAGGGUUGUAAAGCUCUUUUACCCGGGAUGAUAAUGACAGUACCGGGAGAAUAAGCUCCGGCUAACUACGUG
rnacentral:rRNA from 1 species